AUUGAACGCUGGCGGCAGGCCUAACACAUGCAAGUCGAACGAUUGGCGGACGGGUGAGUAAUGUCUGGGAAACUGCCUGAUGGAGUGGGUUAACUACUGGAAACGGUAGCUAAUACCGCAUACCAUCGGAUGUGCCCAGAUGGGAUUAGCUAGUAGGUGGGGUAAAGGCUGUCCUCGUCGACGAUCCCUAGCUGGUCUGAGUGGAUGACCAGGCACACUGGAACAGAGAGACGGUCCAGACGCCUACGGGAGGCAGCAGGGGGGAAUAUUGGACAAUGGGCGCAAGCCUGAUGCAGCCAUGCCGCGUGUAUGAAGGGGGCCUUCGGGUUUUAAAGUACUUUCAGCGGGGAGGCGGUACCCGCAGAAGAAGCGCCGGCUAACUCCGUGCCAGCAGCCGCGGUAAUAC
rnacentral:rRNA from 1 species